rnacentral:rRNA from 1 species
UACGAGAUGCGCAAACGUUAUUCGGAUUUACUGGGCUUAAAGAGUUCGUAGGCGGCGCAGAAAGUAGGGUGUGAAAGCCCUCGGCUCAACCGAGGAAUUGCGCUCUAAACUACUGUGCUUGAGGAAGCUAGAGGUGAGCGGAACUGAUGGUGGAGCGGUGAAAUGCGUUGAUAUCAUCAGGAACACCGGAGGCGAAGGCGGCUCACUGGGGCUUAUCUGACGCUGAGGAACGAAAGCCAGGGGAGCGAACGGG